rnacentral:rRNA from 1 species
GACGUAGGGCGCGAGCGUUGUCCGGAUUUAUUGGGCGUAAAGAGCUCGUAGGCGGUUUGUUGCGUCGGCUGUGAAAACCUGAGGCUCAACCUCAGGCCUGCAGUCGAUACGAGCAGACUAGAGUGUUGCAGGGGAGACUGGAAUUCCUGGUGUAGCGGUGAAAUGCGCAGAUAUCAGGAGGAACACCGGUGGCGAAGGCGGGUCUCUGGGCAACAACUGACGCUGAGGAGCGAAAGCGUGGGGAGCGAACAGG